GACGAACGCUGGCGGCGUGCCUAAUACAUGCAAGUCGAACGCUUCCUUCCUCCCGAGUGCUUGCACUCCAUUGGAAAGAGGAGUGGCGGACGGGUGAGUAACACGUGGGUAACCUACCCAUCAGAGGGGGAUAACACUUGGAAACAGGUGCUAAUACCGCAUAACAGUUUAUGCCGCAUGGCAUAAGGGUGAAAGGCGCUUUCGGGUGUCGCUGAUGGAUGGACCCGCGGUGCAUUAGCUAGUUGGUGAGGUAACGGCUCACCAAGGCCACGAUGCAUAGCCGACCUGAGAGGGUGAUCGGCCACACUGGGACUGAGACACGGCCCAGACUCCUACGGGAGGCAGCAGUAGGGAAUCUUCGGCAAUGGACGAAAGUCUGACCGAGCAACGCCGCGUGAGUGAAGAAGGUUUUCGGAUCGUAAAACUCUGUUGUUAGAGAAGAACAAGGACGUUAGUAACUGAACGUCCCCUGACGGUAUCUAACCAGAAAGCCACGGCUAACUACGUG
rnacentral:rRNA from 1 species